rnacentral:rRNA from 1 species
AUGAAAGGUGCCACGAUGGGUGCUGAGAAUGCUGCAGAGCCAGAAGCACCAAUUGAAAUCUCUCAAAAAAUGGUACCAAAGAGAGCACGAACAGGUGAGGCCAUUAUGUGCAUGAUUGGAGAGAUGAUGACUACUUUUAAAGACGCUUUGAAGACGGCUGAUCCACUUCCAUUGCCAAAGGCUACUACUCCUUCUGAAAUACUUGCUGCACUUCAAUUGAUACCAGAUUUGGCAGAAGUGGAUAUGUUGCGCUCUUAUGGGAAGUUGAUUCUUAAUGAGUGUUUGUUUGAAGUUCUAAUGGAGCUGCCCAUGCACAUGAGGAAGACUUGGCUGCUAUUGUUGCCUUGA